rnacentral:rRNA from 1 species
UGCAGUCGAGCGGGGUAAGAGGUAGCUUGCUACCUGACCUAGCGGCGGACGGGUGAGUAAUGCUUAGGAAUCUGCCUAUUAGUGGGGGACAACAUUCCGAAAGGAAUGCUAAUACCGCAUACGCCCUACGGGGGAAAGCAGGGGAUCUUCGGACCUUGCGCUAAUAGAUGAGCCUAAGUCAGAUUAGCUAGUUGGUGGGGUAAAGGCCUACCAAGGCGACGAUCUGUAGCGGGUCUGAGAGGAUGAUCCGCCACACUGGGACUGAGACACGGCCCAGACUCCUACGGGAGGCAGCAGUGGGGAAUAUUGGACAAUGGGCGAAAGCCUGAUCCAGCCAUGCCGCGUGUGUGAAGAAGGCCUUUUGGUUGUAAAGCACUUUAAGCGAGGAGGAGGCUACCUAGAUUAAUACUCUUGGAUAGUGGACGUUACUCGCAGAAUAAGCACCGGCUAACUCUGUGCCAGCAGCCGCGGUAAUACAGAGGGUGCGAGCGUUAAUCGGAUUUACUGGGCGUAAAGCGUGCGUAGGCGGCUUUUUAAGUCGGAUGUGAAAUCCCUGAGCUUAACUUAGGAAUUGCAUUCGAUACUGGGAAGCUAGAGUAUGGGAGAGGAUGGUAGAAUUCCAGGUGUAGCGGUGAAAUGCGUAGAGAUCUGGAGGAAUACCGAUGGCGAAGGCAGCCAUCUGGCCUAAUACUGACGCUGAGGUACGAAAGCAUGGGGAGCAAACAGGAUUAGAUACCCUGGUAGUCCAUGCCGUAAACGAUGUCUACUAGCCGUUGGGGCCUUUGAGGCUUUAGUGGCGCAGCUAACGCGAUAAGUAGACCGCCUGGGGAGUACGGUCGCAAGACUAAAACUCAAAUGAAUUGACGGGGGCCCGCACAAGCGGUGGAGCAUGUGGUUUAAUUCGAUGCAACGCGAAGAACCUUACCUGGUCUUGACAUAGUAAGAACUUUCCAGAGAUGGAUUGGUGCCUUCGGGAACUUACAUACAGGUGCUGCAUGGCUGUCGUCAGCUCGUGUCGUGAGAUGUUGGGUUAAGUCCCGCAACGAGCGCAACCCUUUUCCUUAUUUGCCAGCGGGUUAAGCCGGGAACUUUAAGGAUACUGCCAGUGACAAACUGGAGGAAAGCGGGGACAACUUCAAGUCAUCAUGGCCCUUACGAACAGGGCUACACACCGUGCUACAAUGGUCGGUACAAAGGGUUGCUACCUAGCGAUUGGAUCCUAAUCUCAAAAAGCCCAUUUAAUUCCGAAUUGGAAUCUGCAACUCGACUCCCUGAAAUCGGAAACCCUAUUAAUCGCCGAAAAAAAAACCGCGGUGAAAAAUUUCCCGGGCCUUGUACACACCGCCCGUCACACCAUGGGAAUUUGUUGCACCAGAAGUAGGUAGUCUAACCGCAAGGAGGACGCUAC